AACAGACAUACAUGUCAAAGAAACACGGGCCAGUGUUUGUGAUCAGAAUAUCUGUCAUAACAAAGCACUUCAGUGUCACAGCUUGUAACUUUCUGCUUGAGCUGGGCGUGGCGCUCAGGGUGAUUGUGAUGGUGGGAGGAUGCAGGCAGACGGGAUAGGUGGGUGGGCAUGAUGCAGUGGCACCUAAAGCCUAUUGAGUGCUGGAUGUGAUGGUUUGCACCCCGUGGUGCCCGGUACUGAUUUCCCCUGGACGUCCUCGGUAACAUAUGGGACCCAGGGCGGAGGUCCAAACAUGGAGCCUGCUCCCACUAUUUCAGGAAUCAACAGUGAAUUCAUGUAGCCUUGAAACACUCA